rnacentral:rRNA from 1 species
UACGGAGGGUGCGAGCGUUGUCCGGAAUCACUGGGCGUAAAGGGCGCGUAGGCGGCCUGAUAAGUAGGGGGUGAAAUCCUGCGGCUUAACCGCAGGGCUGCCUUCUAAACUGUCAGGCUUGAGCACAGUAGAGGCAGGUGGAAUUCCCGGUGUAGCGGUGGAAUGCGUAGAGAUCGGGAAGAACAUCAGUGGCGAAGGCGGCCUGCUGGGCUGUUGCUGACGCUGAUGCGCGAAAGCCAGGGGAGCGAACGGG